AUCCGAACAUUUGCUAAAACCUUAAUCGACCUUCGUCGAUUUUUUAUUUUAAAUUCAAAGAAACGGCUUGAGAUAUUCCGAGCAGUUAUAAAAAUUAAUUUGCGUUGAAUAUUGCUACUGCAUUCUUGAAAAAGUGAUGCAGAUUUAUAGCCCAUAACUUUUUUGAAUUCCAUCGACGAUACGGCGUCGAAAGAAAAAUAAACAGACCGUAUGAAAGAAAAAG
rnacentral:ncRNA from 1 species